rnacentral:rRNA from 1 species
GAGUUUGAUCAUGGCUCAGAAUCAACGUUGGCGGCGUGCCUAACACAGCAAGUCGAACGCGAAGCCGGUUACGAUCGGUGGAAAGUGGCGCACGGGUGCGUAACACGUAGCUCACCUGCCCCAAAGACGGGGAUAACGCUGGGAAACCAGGGCUAAUACCCGAUAAGCUCACGAGCUGUAGAGGCUUGUGAGAAAAGACUGCGGUGCUUUGGGAGGGGGCUGCGGCCCAUCAGCUAGUUGGUGCGGUAAGGGCGCACCAAGGCGACGACGGGUAGGGGACCUGAGAGGGUGGUCCCCCACACUGGGACUGAGACACGGCCCAGACUCCUACGGGAGGCAGCAGUGAGGAAUAUUGCACAAUGGGCGCAAGCCUGAUGCAGCAACGCCGCGUGCCCGAGGAAGGCCUUCGGGUUGUAAAGGGCUUUUCUGGCUGAAGAGAGAGGACAGUAGGCCAGGAAUAAGUGUCGGCUAACUACGUGCCAGCAGCCGCGGUAAUAC